GACACAGCUACACUUUCUGAAUAAUCUUGAGAUUUCCAUUCAACUCCUCAGAUUUUAGGGAACAUAUUAUUUGUACUCUCUCUCUCUUUCUCUCUCGGUCUGAAGUUUUGAGAUAAGUGUACUCUAGUUGCCUUAACGCGAUAUGUCAUGUCAUCAUAAGUUAGGUACGAACGUUAUCCCCAAAAACAGUGACUUGAAACUAGAAAAAGGGUCCAACACACAAGAGUUGUUGACGUUUUUUUUUUAGCUUAAUAAGUGUAUAUGUCCAUACACAAUACAGAUACACAAAAGGGAUUUGAUUAACAAUCUCAAAUGUAGUUUUGAUGGUAUAUAUAAUAGAGGCCAAAGAGCUAAAAUACAUGCAAGAACGGAAUUCAAUUUCUGUAUACGUACUGGUGACUCAAGUGAGUCGCAUAAUACACACAGUGUGUAGAGGCAUCAUGAAAAACGUCACUUGACUAUAUUCCUUCAACACUUUCAAUUCAUCAUUCACUCUAAACUCAAUCCAUUCAACAGGCUAAACUAUCGCUCGAUAACUUGAGAUUUCACAGUCAGUUAUCAACCCUCGUGGUGCCAACAUCCAAUUAACUAACUUUGCAAAGAAAAACGUUUUAGUUGGAAUUCUGCUCUCAUGAGCAAUACUCGGGAGUGGGCUUUGAAAAUCACAGGACCUUGGAUAAUGGUACCACUCCUACACAAGUACUAUCUACCUGUACAGUGUAGUUCUUUAUUGGGCAUUUUGCAUUUGUAUUUGCAAGCGAGCUGCCCUAUAAAGGGCUAUACUUGUGCGGAAAUAUUCUUCAAAAAUUCAAGACAAGUUUACUUACCCUGCAUUUCCUGGAGUUGCUUCAAAUGAGGGUAAAGCUGCAGAGUUGCUGGACCCUGAAAAUUUACAGAAUUUUAAAAUGGUCAAGGAUUUAAUCGAGAAGGAGACAUCACCACCGUGGGUUAAUUUUAUGCAUUAUACAGAUAGGAUAGGAGUACAGUCAACCCCACCCCAACAAUGUUAUUGAUCAUCUUCCUUGCAUAAUGCAUACCUGAUAUUUUGGACAUGUCUGGACACGAUUCAGACGACAACCAUUUACAAGGUUUCCUUCACGAACGUGGAUGCAACCAUACGUAUGAAACUACCACUCUGCUAUCUUUUCGUCAUGACCUCAUCGCUACGCGAGCAUAUCAAUCAUAACAACUUACCAAUUGAUGAAACUGGACUUGCCAGCGGAAUGAUUUCCAAGAAUCAUAACCGUCACUUUACGCCGUGGAUAUGGCAGUUCAAUACCCACAAGUUUUCCCAACUUCACCAGACCUGCAAACAAUAAAGUUCAAAUUUUAUGUGUAUCUACUAAACUCGUUCGUUCGAGAGGAUAAUAUUUUAAACAAAUUGAAAUGCAAAAUUUAAAUAAAAUUCUAUUCCAUUCGUCUAUCAUCAUCA